GAUGAACGCUGGCGGCGUGCCUAAUACAUGCCAGUCGAGCGAACAGAUGAGGAGCUUGCUCCUCUGACGUUAGCGGCGGACGGGUGAGUAACACGCGGAUAACCUACCUAUAAGACUGGGAUAACUUCGGGAAACCGGAGCUAAUACCGGAUAAUAUAUUGAACCGCAUGGUUCAAUAGUGAAAGACGGUUUUGCUGUCACUUAUAGAUGGAUCCGCGCCGCAUUAGCUAGUUGGUAAGGUAACGGCUUACCAAGGCAACGAUGCGUAGCCGACCUGAGAGGGUGAUCGGCCACACUGGAACUGAGACACGGUCCAGACUCCUACGGGAGGCAGCAGUAGGGAAUCUUCCGCAAUGGGCGAAAGCCUGACGGAGCAACGCCGCGUGAGUGAUGAAGGUCUUCGGAUCGUAAAACUCUGUUAUUAGGGAAGAACAAAUGUGUAAGUAACUAUGCACGUCUUGACGGUACCUAAUCAGAAAGCCACGGCUAACUACGUG
rnacentral:rRNA from 1 species